ensembl:snRNA U6 U6 spliceosomal RNA
GGUAGUCACUUCGGCAGCCCACCUACUAAAAUUGGAAUGAUACAGAAAAGAUUACCAUGGUAUCUGUGCAAGGAUGACACAUAAACUGGUAAAGCAUUCCAUAUUUUU